rnacentral:rRNA from 1 species
GACGAACGCUGGCGGCGUGCUUAACACAUGCAAGUCGAACGGUAAGGCCCUUCGGGGUACACGAGUGGCGAACGGGUGAGUAACACGUGGGUGAUCUGCCCUGCACUUCGGGAUAAGCCUGGGAAACUGGGUCUAAUACCGGAUAGGACUCCGGACUGCAUGGUCUGGGGUGGAAAGCUUUUGCGGUGUGGAAUGGGCCCGCGGCCUAUCAGCUUGGUGGUGGGGUGAUGGCCUACCAAGGCGACGACGGGUAGCCGGCCUGAGAGGGUGACCGGCCACACUGGGACUGAGACACGGCCCAGACUCCUACGGGAGGCAGCAGUGGGGAAUAUUGCACAAUGGGCGCAAGCCUGAUGCAGCGACGCCGCGUGAGGGAUGACGGCCUUCGGGUUGUAAACCUCUUUCAGCACAGACGAAGCGCAAGUGACGGUAUGUGCAGAAGAAGGACCGGCCAACUACGUGCCAGCCGCCGCCGCAG